GAAAAUACAUGAAUAGUUGUAUUUUGGAGGGUGGAAAUUUGAGUUUAGCCCAAACAUGGUUGGAGAUGGCUAUCUCCAAUCCAUGAGGCAAAACCCAAAAAAUCCCAAAUUAUGGCCCAAUAUAUCUCCCAACCUAAUAAAAGUAAGAGGCCAAAAUUUGGGAAAACCAAAAUUUGGGGCCAAAUACCAGUCCAGCUAUUGCCUAGACUAGAAUUUUUUUUUUUUUGUGUGGAG
rnacentral:lncRNA from 1 species